rnacentral:rRNA from 1 species
UACGAAGGGGGCUAGCGUUGCUCGGAUUGACUGGGCGUAAAGGGCGCGUAGGCGGUUUGUACAGUCAGACGUGAAAUUCCCGGGCUCAACCUGGGGGCUGCGUUUGAUACGUGCGGACUUGAGUUCGGAAGAGGGUCGUGGAAUUCCCAGUGUAGAGGUGAAAUUCGUAGAUAUUGGGAAGAACACCGGCGGCGAAGGCGGCGACCUGGUCCGAUACUGACGCUGAGGCGCGAAAGCGUGGGGAGCAAACAGG